GCAGGAACAUGAUCACGGCAGCCUUGCGGUUCUGGUUUUGGGUCAAUUUUCUGGUUCACAACUGAUCCCAUGGUUCAAGUUUGGUUCAAACCUGGUUUUGUGAACCAGAUAAAGCUUAUCCAAUUCAUGGGGCCCAGUUUGAAAGCUU